AAAAAGGCAAACCCUGGGUUUCCGUGUCCAACUUUAACUGUCCGUCUUAUAUGAAAUUUUUUUAUAAUUCGUAUUUUCAUUGUUGUUAGAUGAUAAAACAUGAUUAAUAUUUUAUGUGUGACUUGUCUUUUUAAUUUUUUUUAUAAUUUUUUCAAAUAAGACGGACGGUCAAAUGUUAAAUCCAGAAACC
rnacentral:pre_miRNA from 1 species